CCAGCGCGUCCCCCUGCUUGUUUCCCACGCGCAAUUUCCUACCGAUCUGAAGAAAGUCCGAUCAAUUCCCACGCCCGGCCUUGGGCUCUGUCUCUCUCUCUCUGCUCAACGCCUCAACCCAACCCACCGACCAGCCCGACCGGGGGGCGGGGGGCGAUGGAAGCGGCGGGCAACGACCGGAGGGAGGCGGCGCUAGGCGCCCUCUCCGUGCUCCCUGACGAGGUGCUCUGCGCCGUCGUCGACAUCCUCUCGCCCGCUGACAUCGGACGCCUCGCGUGCGUCAGCAGUGUCAUGUACAUACUUUGUAAUGAAGAACCUCUCUGGAUGAGCAAAUGUCUUUCAAUCGGGGGUCCUCUUGAAUACAAAGUUUCCUGGAAGAAGACGGCACUAUGUAGGCUUGGUCUAUGUUCAGAAAAUAAGGAGAUUUGGCAGAAGCCUCGUCAGUUCGAUGGCUUUAAUUCUUUGUAUCUAUACCGGAGAUGGUAUAGAUGUUUUACUACUUUGAAUAGUUUUUCGUUUGACGAUGGACAUGUGGAAAGGAAAGAUGACUUUUUAUUGGAUCAGUUUCGUUCUCAGUAUGAUGGAAAAUGCCCAGUUUUGGUUACGAAGUUGGCCGAAACCUGGCCUGCGAGGACAAAAUGGACACUGCAGCAACUGACAAAGGAUUUUGGGGAAGUUCCAUUCAGGAUAUCACAAAGAAGCCCUCAGAAGAUAACAAUGAAACUAAAGGAUUAUGUUUCUUACAUGGAACUCCAGCAUGAUGAAGAUCCUCUAUACAUAUUUGAUGAUAAGUUUGGAGAAUCAGCACCAACAUUACUUGAAGAUUAUAGUGUCCCUCAUUUAUUCCAAGAAGACUUUUUUGAUAUCUUGGAUUAUGACCAACGACCAGCAUUCAGAUGGCUUAUUAUUGGACCAGAGAGAUCAGGUGCUUCUUGGCAUGUUGAUCCUGGACUGACAAGUGCAUGGAAUACUCUUCUUUGUGGCCGAAAAAGAUGGGCAUUGUACCCUCCAGGAAGAGUGCCUGGUGGUGUCACAGUACAUGUAAAUGAUGAAGACGGUGAUGUUGACAUUGAAACUCCGACAUCAUUGCAAUGGUGGCUUGAUAUAUAUCCACACCUUCCUGAACAUGAGAAGCCAUUGGAAUGCACACAAUUGCCAGGAGAGACCAUUUUUGUUCCUAGUGGGUGGUGGCAUUGCGUUCUGAAUCUCGAGACAACAAUUGCAGUUACACAGAACUUUGUAAACCAGUCUAAUUUUCAGCAUGUAUGUUUGGAUAUGGCACCUGGUCACAGACACAAAGGAGUUUGCCGUGCUGGCUUACUUGCUGUUCCAGGAAAAUUCGUUAAAGAUAAUAAAAACCAUCAAUCUGUCACAAUGAGUGGAUGGAACCACCCUGAUAUGAGUCGUAAGGAAAAAAGGCUUAAAGGUUCUGAAGCACUAAGAAUCUCAAAUAGCAUAAAUCAUUGUUCUGCAUUUGAGUUCUCAGGUGUUCAAGAGAGUUUGGAGAAUCAAGAUUUCUCAUAUGAUAUUGAUUUUUUGUCACAAUUCAUUGAGAAAGAAAGGGACCAUUAUUCUUCUCUCUGGAGUCCAACUAAUUCAAUUGGGCAGAGAGAAGCAAGAGAAUGGCUGCGAAGGCUUUGGGUUCUGAAACCUGAUCUGAGAGAACUAAUAUGGAAGGGUGCAUGCCUUGCAAUAAAUGUUGACAAAUGGUAUUCAUGCUUAGAGGAGAUAUGUGCAUGCCAUAGUUUACCACCACCUACAGAGGAUGAGAAGCUUCCUGUUGGCACUGGUAGCAACCCAGUCUUCAUUGUCUCGGGCAAUGUGAUUAAAAUAUAUGCUGAAGGAGGAUUGGUUUAUUCUGUCCAUGGUUUGGGCACAGAGCUUGAGUUCUAUGAUCUCCUGCAAAAAAGUGGUUCACCUUUGAUCAAUCACAUUCCUGAGAUAAUUGCUAGUGGCUUCCUUGAGUAUAAGGAUGAUAUCUACAGCACGGUUCCGUGGAAUGGAAAAGGAAUACCAGAAAUUUUGGUUAAGUACUACUCAUUGGAGGUUUCUUGUGCGAACAGCUGCUUUCCUCUUGGGCUUUGGAGCAAGCAACGAUUUGGGAUGUGUAGUUCGGCUGAUGUUUCAGACAGACCAAUUUGGCCUUACAUGGUAACAAGAAAGUGCAAAGGAGAUAUUUUUGCUCGCAUCCGCGAUAUGCUGUCGAAGACUGAUAUUCUUCAUCUUGCAUCAUCCUUGGGAGUUCAAAUGCGAAACAUACAUUUAUUACCCCUGCCACCCGUGGAGCAUGUACCUGAAUCUGGGAACAAUGAUGUGAAAGAAGUGGUAGGAACAUGUGAUGAUACCACGGUUCUACCUGAAUGGCAGCAACUUGUCUCUACUCUAAAUAGGAGGAAGCAGAAUGUAAAAAAGCACCUAGCUAACUGGGGGGACUCUGUUCCACAAGUUCUAGUAGAAAAGGCUGAAGAAUAUCUCCCUCCGAAUAUGGGCUUCCUCAUCAAGUUUGUUAAGGAUGAUGGUGAGUUGCUGUACCCAUGCCCCUCUUGGAUACAUUCAGAUAUAAUGGACGAUAACAUUCUUAUCGAGGGGAUCAUAAAACUGAGUUCUUCUGGUGAGAGGGAAAGAGUUUAUGACUCAGAUCGGGACAAAAUAAAUGCAAUUCACAUCAUUGAUUUCAGUGAUCUGUCCAUUGGGGAUCCUAUAUUUCUUGUGUGUGAGCAGGGGAUCCUAUAUGUGACAUAAUUCCGCUGCACUUGGAUAUUUUCCGGGGUGAUAGUGACCUUCUCAAGGAAUUUCUACGGAGCUAUCAACUUCCCCUUCUGAGGGGGGAAUCAACCACCGAUGUCUACAGAUCAGUGCGAAACUCGAAGUUCAGCAGGGCAUCAUAUCGCGCGAUGUGCUACUGUAUAUUACACGAGGACAACGUCUUGGGAGCUAUAUUCAGCCUGUGGAAGGAGAUGAGGGCUGCAACGUCCUGGGAGGACGUUGAGAACCUGGUCUGGGGAGAGCUGAACCGGUACCAGGACUCUGCAGUUCGCUCAGCAUAACUAAACACCAGCAAAAAAAAAAAAAACUUUCUGAACAUACGUGUAUGUUGUUGUUCCUCCGACGAAUGUAACUUCCAAAUAUAAAAAAAAAGUGUAGGGAAAAUAACGAAGGCUCGACACGGCAUGCCCGUAUUUUCCUAUGGCUGGUGAUAAUAUUGAGAUCCCUGAAAUGGUUCUAUGAAAUGAACCGCAGACCGUUGAAAUCGUUUCAGAUCGGCAACAUAAAUCGCAUGGGACUGAUGUGCCACAGGGGAUUUCUGUGCA